rnacentral:lncRNA from 1 species
UGCCUAGUUCAUAGCAUCACCACAAGACUGAAAUUAGAUACGCCAUGUUAUGUGCAUAACUCAGGACCUGGCAUACGGUGUAUAAUUGAUGUUAGUUACUGUUAGAGUCUUCAGCAAGAGCAAAUGGCUGUUUGUUCAUGUUGCUUUCCUGACCUUUUUUCACACAGAGAAGGCCAUCUUGCCUCCAACUCCACUACAGUCUGCAGAAGUCCUGCUAUGUCGGCCAUUAUGCUCUUUACUGUUGACUCCCCUUGAGGCAGCUGGAGGGGCAUGGAGGGGGACAGCUGAUGCCCUGCGCUGGUCUCCAAGAGCACAGACACUUCAUCUGCUGGCAGAAAGGUGCAGUCUGCUCAAGGCAUUCUGGAGGUUCUAAGGGCUGAGAAUCCUGGACAAGAACGAGCCAUGACUUUUAGCUAAGAAGGCUCCUUGGACCCGCACAGCCCUCUCUGUGGGAAGGUCAAUGACCAGCAAAGAGAAGUGAGAGGAUGGACAGAGAUGUGUGUGGUGGAAAGAUCUGUCUGUUGGAUUCACAGAUUCAUCCUCUUGGAUUUUGGAAGGUCUGCCGGCAGGAGGAGAGGCUGGUCCCACAGACGAGCCUGGUCCUUAGGGUGUCCAUCUGGCUGCAGGGCCCUGCUGCCUCUCUCAGGGCCGAGCAGAGCAGGGAGGGAAGGUCUCAAGGGGCAAGACUGAUGGGCUGGUCCCCAGGGGCGGCGGGGCAGGGCUGGCAUGGAGGCUGAGCAGGCUGCAGGCCCGGGCCCCUUCCUAUCUGGGGGCAGCCUCGCAGGGAACCAGCACCCACUCCCCUGGUUCUGCCCCAUGAGCGCAUCACAAAUAGAGUCACAAAAGAGGCAUGUUGGCACGGUACCAGUGCUACAGACUCCUCCGGAAAUUUACCUGACACCUGAACUCCCUCACAUGCCAUUUGAUUUAAAUAUUCAUAACCACCAUCAAUAACUCUGGAUCUCCCAGGCAGUGACUGAAGCUGGCCGGGUUCUGCUAGGGAGGGGGAUGGGCCCCACGCCCCGCCAGAGACCAUUCUGAGCUCAGGCGCCACUUCCUCCAUUAAUACCCAGAGCACGACUCCCUCCCAUCCGUCAUUUCUGGCCUUAUCUUAUCGAUCCUUUUAAUAGCAGGCAGUAACAAUUUAUUAGCAAUUUUCCAGAGUCUGUGCCUCCUGGCUAAAUCUUUUUUCCAUCCUGAGAGCUGAAAUAAUAUUUCUUCUAAAUCUGGCUUUCUUCAAGGCACUCAGGAAGGCCAGUCUGAGGGAACCAGUGAUGCCUACAGAGAAGGAACAAUUAAAUUAAGAAAUUUCCAUUCUUCCCCCUGCAAAAAAAUAAUGUAGUGGUUUCAAGUGAACAACUGUGUGUGGGGUG